GUUUGGUCAUGGGAUGCUCCCUUUAAGAGGCAUGUGUUUUCAUGCUAAAAAGAGAGCACCUACGGCAUCCUUAUACCAGAGAGAAGGCCAAUGCUUUUGAUCUGCAUCAAGUAGCGUGUUGUUCUAUAAAAAUCUCUUAUCCCCACCAAGUCAAACGGAGAUAUAGGAGUUCUUGAAAGACAUGGCACAAAUGGAGAUGCAAUGGAGGUUGGUAGGGCUUGCAAUGAUUUGGCUUUUGCUACUAAACAACUAUUAUUUGGUGGAGGCAUUACACGAGGACAUAGCUGAAGCAAUGCCUAAUAAGGGUUUUGUCGAACCACAGCGCAAGCUUCAAGGAUUCCACUUCAAAAAAACUCUACCAAAACCUUCAAACUCCUAUCAACGUGGUUGCAACCCAAUAUUUCACUGCCGUGGUUAGCAGCAAAUAAUGAAGAUGCAUAAAGUUGGAGUGCUUCAUCUAAACUUUAUCGGACUUUUUCUAACUUGGUGUUAUUCAUACUUUUCUUCUUAUACUGGAUGUAAUUUCUUGUUCUCUUAUGCUUGGCAUCCUAUGUCAUGUUAUGAUUAACAGUAUAUGGUAUUAAUGGCUACUAUUUUGAAAAA